UGCCAAGGGCAGCUGUUUUUAUUCUUCUUCUUUCCAGCUGCCAAGGCAACCUUUUUCUUUCUUCUUUCUAAAAUUAUUCCCCCAGCUGCAAAGCAGCUCUCUUUCCUUCGCUGGCCCUGUGCUGCACGUCCUCACUCCUUAUUUUAUGCGCCCCGCUGCUGCCAAAGCAGCAUCUGCCUUUUUGUUUUCUGUUUUUUCUAUUCCAUCUUUUCCCGCAUACUCCUGCCUUCCACUCCUCACGUUUCCACCUUGGAUUCCUUUCUUUCCAGCUGCAAAGCAACUUCCUGUUGUUUUCAGAAGUGAAGAAUAUGGGAGUCAACGAGGUAAAAAAAAUAUAAAUCAUGAUGCUCUCUUGCUCCCUCAUUGACCGACUCUCUCCAUUUCUUUUGCUUAUGCCGUGACAUAAUUCUACCAAUAAUCCAUGACAGAAUGAGAACGACUAGAGCAAUUUUUGACGAAUUUAUUAUUUAAAACUCAUUUGUGCUAUUUUUAUUUUCUUUGCAUAACAAAUCCUAUAAACACAAAAAUAACGUAAAUAGCUCAAAAAUGUAAGGAACUAACUAAGAAAAGACGAGUGAAUUUAAAGUAAAAAUAUAUAUAAAUAUGAUCCGAUCAAAUACCCCCACACUUAACUUUUGCUAGUCCUCGAGCAAAACAAAGAAAACAUGAAAAAGUAAUAACAUGAAAAACAUUAGCUUCCCCCUAUGUGACCCUCAUAGAAAUUCUUUUAAGAAAACAAAUCAUCAAGAACCAUAGUUAGCAUCAAGGAACUAAUCCAAGUUCAUCUUCCUUAUUCAAAUAUUAGCAGUAAUCUUUGAAUCAUCCUUGAAGUGUAGUGUGUGAGAUAGUCCAUGCUAAUGCAAUUUCAAGUUUUUAUUUUUAAAAUCAUCAUAUGCAAACUAGCGACAUUCUCACGGGAUAUACACUCAAUCACACAUGUGUUUAGUUUUAAUGUGUUUCGCUCAAAGAAACAAAUGUGAAAUUUCUACCAUAAGCUUGCAUAAAGAUCACUUCUCCACAAUCAUAAUUGCAAAACUUAAAUCAAGAGGACUUUUAUUGGAUGUAAUGAGGCUUAGGGAUAGGGUUAUUGAAACGAAAGAAUAGGAAAACACAAGUUCCAAGCUACAUUGCAAGCAAUUCUUUUGUUUAGAUUUAUAAGAAUUCAAGCUCUCCAACGAUUCUUCUGAUACCUCCAAUCACACCCUUAAACUGAAACUUUAAAAACUUUUUAUUUUCUUUGUAUAUAAUCUUUCUUUUUCUUUUCUUUUCUUCUUUUUUUUUUUUUUUUUUUUUUUUUUUUUUUAAAUACAAACAUGAAAUACCCCCACACUUAUUCUUUUGCCAAACACCUUCAAAGUACUUCACAAACAUUUCUCAUAAGACAAUCUCACAUUGCUCACUAGCUUGCUUGGAAAGGGUAAGGAAAAAUGUUUCAGAUAUAAGGGUAGACAUAUCUGGUGAUAAGAAAUAAAAGGCUCAACAAAGACGGCUCAAAUUGGCAAUCUAAUGAUAUCAUUUUUCUUUGGGAAACAUGGUUAUUUGGGCCAUAGUGGUAAACCUAAUGCCUCUAUCAUUUCCAAGUUCAAGCAAUCAAUGACAAACAUUUCGAAAGAUCGUUACGCAAGUUCUAGAGAUGUAUCUCACAUAAGUUCAUCACACAUGAAAGAAUAGGAGUGUAUGAAAAAUGCACACACUUUCAAUCGGCUCAAAAACUCACAUAGGAUGUAUAUGGUCACUAAAUUCACAUAUGAAGCUUUAAGUCAUACUUUAGUUUCACAUUAACAAGGCUAUGUGCAUUUGGUUUUUCAAAGAUGGUCAAACAUGUACAAAACUAACAAGAGAAUUAGGAAUUUCAUAAAACACAUGUUAACUAAGUUCUUGAUAAUCGUGAUUCAAAUUUGAUCUAAUUAUAUCAUUGGGUCGGGAAACUAACAAAAAUCUAAUUCAAAACAAUAAGGGAAACAAGACAAUAUUUUUGGAUUUUUAAAUUUUCCGAAAUUUUUUUAAAUUAAAAAAAAAAAAUUUUUUUUUAAAAGAAAACAAAACUAAUUAAGAACACAAAAAACAACAACACAGAAACAAAUGAAAUUCUAUUAUUAUUUUUUUUUUUUUAAAAGAAAACAAAACUAAUUAAGAACACAAAAAACAACAACACAGUUUUUUUUUUUUUUUUUUUUUUUAAAAGAAAACAAAACUAAUUAAGAACACAAAAAACAACAACACAGAAACAAAUGAAAUUCUGGAGAUUUCUACCCCCACACUUAAACUUGACAUUGUCCCCAAUGUCAGAAAACACUAUAACGCAAAUAAAAAUAAAAUAAAAUAAAUAAAUAAUAAGAAACAAAAUAAAGCAAUUAGACUGAAAACUUCCCUAAUUUGCAGUAAAGUCAAGCGAUGACCCCCAAGCUAAAAUUCUGCAAUCAACUUCAAGGGUGGAAAUAACCAAAAGUUCCUGCAAAGAAAAGAAAUAAUUCAGUUAAGUACGCAAGAAAAUUAAUUAAAAAAAAUUGCAAACGAAAAAUUGAAAAUUACGAUAAAAGAUAAUGAAUAAAACUAAUAAGUAAUCAUUGGUCGUGCUUGUUGACUUUCCACAGCUUUCCUCUUGAACGGGGUGACACUUAGCUUUUUACUUGCAAGUGAUGAUUUGAUGAUAUUGUACGGCGGAGCUUUGCUCUUUGGGAAUGUUGCAGUUCCUUAUUUGUUCUCCAAGCAGAUGUGGCAGCUUCUCUAGUUCUUCAUCUCAGACUCCUUCUGCUGGGAUGAUUGUGCAAGCUGCAUUCUUCUCUGCUUGUUUCCUCUGCAUGGCGGGCAGGCACGAAGGAGAGGUGUUGGUCUGUUUCUUUCUUCAAUCUUUCCAAGUGCCCACCUCUUGCUCUCUUUCUCCUUGUCCUUAGUUGAGGAUGAAUCAGCACGUUGUCUCCACAUGCUUCGAGGUAUCAUCUUCACUUCCCUUAUACGUAAGAGACGAAGAGGAAACACAAGAUGAUGAGUACUCGAGAGCAAGUGCUGGCUGGAGAAAGGACAGGGAGAAAGCAUGAUAUGAGAUACUCUUGCUUUCAACCUUCAUGAUAUGAAAUACUUUUGCUUUGAAUGGGUUGUUCGCAGGAGUAUCCCAAGGAAUGAGGAACACAGAGUAACUUAGGAGGAUUCUUUGGGAAUGCAUUUUCGGAGAUGAAGAAGUGUUGAGAGGGUGUGCUGAGAGAGUGUGCUUUUGCUGUGGAAGGCGAAGGUAGAAACUUAUAGGACUUGUCUUCACAACCGGAACUGUUAUCUCACUUAGUGUCGGCAGCCGGUGGAUGGAUGAAUAGUACAAAUUACGCGCUUUCUGACAAAGCUGCCCGUAAUUUCCGCAAAGCAGAUUCCUCAUUGAUAUCUGGAAUCGGCGCUUCGAGCUCUGAGCAACGUCGAUUGUAGAGGUAGCAUGUGACACGUGCGGAUAAAUCUGGAAAAGAAGAUUUGCCCGUGGGUUGAAGCCCAGCUUUUGAGAAAGCUAGCGUGUCAUUGACUGUUGAAUUUCCCUCUUUGAUUUCUGAAUUGGUGCUUCGACAAACUACCCGAGAAUUUCGCAAAGCAAUUUGCGUGUGACAAGUGACGACACGUCUGGACAAAUUGAUCUUUUGAAAUCCGGGGUUCGGCUCGUGGUUUCUGAGCAAGCCCAGCCUUUAAGAAAUGAAACGCCUCUUUUGAGAAAAGAAUCCGGCUUUUGAGAAAGGAGCCCCGACUCUUCGAUUUGCGAGAGGACGCUUCUCUGAGGAGCGCCUCUUUGAUUUCUUCCUUUUUAUAGAGACGUUAAGCUUGUUCCACAACACACACUUGAGCUCCCUCCUGUAAACACUCCCUUCUUGCACUUGUUUAAUCUUGAUCAUUCCGACUCUCUUCUUUCUUCACCACCUCUGAAAAAUGUCUGGCCCUUCCGAUCGUCGUUUUGACUUGAACAUUGGUGAAGAGGCAGCUCCGCCUUCACCAGACAAUAUAUGGCGCCCAUCCUUCAUAUCCCCUACCGGUCCUCUUACCGUGGGGGAUUCGGUGAUGAAAAAUGACAUGACUGCUGCGGUGGUGGCCCGGAACCUUGUCACCCCCAGAGAUAACAGACUGCUCGCUAGGCGGUCUGAUGAAUUGGCGGUUAAGGAGUCUCUGGCUCUUAGCGUGCAGUGUGCGAGUUCUGUGUCCAACAUGGCCCAACGCCUAUAUGCUCGAACACGUCAUGUUGAGUCGUUGGUGGCUGAAAUACAGAGUCUCAAACAAGAGAUUAAAGGGCUCAAGCAUGAGAAUAAAGAAUUGCACAAGCUCGCACACAGCUAUGCCACCAGCAUGAAGAGGAAGAUUGACCAGAUGCAGGACACCGAUGGUCAAAUUUUACUUGAUCAUCGGAGGUUUGUGGGUUUGUUCCAACAACAUCUGCCUUCGUCUUCUGGAGCGGCACCGCGUAGUGAAGCUCCAACUGAUCAACCUCUGCCGCCUCCUCCUUCUGUGGCCCCGCCGACUGCUGAAGCCCCGCCUACUACUGAAGCACCACCCGACCAAUGAAUACUAUUAGUUUACAUUAUUGUAAAAUAUUUGUACUUUUUUUUUUUUUAAAAUUUUUUUUUUUUUUUUUUUUUUUAAUUUUUAAAUUUUUUUUUUUUUUUUUUUAUGUAAUUUUUUUUUAUCAUUAAUUUUAAAUUUUAUCUUUUUUUUUUUUUUUUUUUUUUCUUUUUAAAUGUAAAUUAAUGUAAAGAGACUUUGGUUAACCUUCCCCCACACUUAAACUAAAUAACACAAACUCACAGAAAUCAACCAAAUAACACAACUAACUAAACAAAACAAAUUGAAAGCAGUAAAGAUAAGGUUGGAAGAAUGCAAAGCUGAUUGGGUUAGCGAUUCCAAAGUCUCCCUUCGUUGAAUGCUUGGGUUGCCUCCCAAGAAGCGCUUGAUUUAACGUCUUUAGCCGGACGCAUCUUUCCUUUAAAUUUCCCUCGGCUCCAUUUGAACCUAAAAUCAAAGAAAGAAAAAUCAAUCAAAUAUCAAAAGUAAAAUACACAAACACCAAUAUAAACAUAAACAAAAACAAAAAUAAAAGGAUUAGCAAAGUUGCUAAUCCCCGGCAACGGCGCCAAAAUUUGAUGCGAAAUAUAUAAGCACACAAAAUUAAACCCUCUUUUUGACAAUUGUAGUAUAGAUGUAAGUAGGGUAUCGUUCUAGGCCGGGGAUUAGGAGGGAUUGCUAAUCUAUUGUAAAUUAAUUUAAAAAUAUUAAAUAAGACUCAAGGACACAAAACUAGGCUAAAAACUCUAAUAACUCGAAACACACUUAAAAUGACUCAAAAUAAUGAAAACAAUUAAAUUAAACACUAGGAACUGAAAUGGACGGAAAUUAAAUUAAAAGACUAACAAUAAAGAAAACUACUAACUAAAUAAUAUAAAUUUAAUAAUGGAUGGGUGUUUGGUUUUGAUGAAAAGUAAAUUAAACUUAAUUAAAUUACAGAAUUGACAAAAACAUAAAAUUAAGGUAAAAUGAUAAAUGACGGACUAGCUAGAGGGUUCUUCUCCACACAUGACACAUAUGCAACCUAAAUUAAUUUUCAGUUGUUCUUUCAAUAAGUUGUGAAUCUCAAUACUCCAGAUUAACCGUGAACAGCACUUUUUUAAUCUUCAAGUUUUCCUUAAGUUAUUGAAUUGGACGGAAAACGCAUACAACAAUUCAAAACAUUCUUCAAAAAUCCCCUACGUGAAAAGCACAAUAGAGAUACAAUCAAAGAUCAUUAAACUUUGUGAAAACUAUAAGCAUUGACGAGGCAUUCGUAACUAUGAAAAGCAUGAUACUCUUGCCAAGAAUUUACUUAACGUGAUUGUGACUAGCAACCUUUACUACUUGUGAAAAUAAGUUCAUAACGAUUAGGUGAAAUUCACUUAUAUUCUAGCAUCAAAUUCAUGCAUGUAAAUUAAGCGUGCACUCUCAACCAACAUACACAAAUCAGUUUUUAUACGAACGGAUAAGUAAAUUGAAAUCACAACUUAUGAAAUCACAACCGAAGGUAAUCAAUUCAUAUUACAAAUAUAUUCAUGGUUUCGAAUUAACCUCUAACCAACAUAAAUUUAUUUACACAUUAUUAAAAACAGAAAUAAAAGAGAAGUUUGGAAAAAUUAAACCGAGAAAAUAGAUUGAAGCCUUCUGCUCACUGUGCUCUGAUGCUUCAGUUUCUGCACUCUCUGCCACUCUGCCCAUUGCUCACGCUGACUUCCUUCCGUGCUGCUCACCUGCGUGCUGACUCUCCUCACUUCUUCUUUCCCGCAGCUCCUCGCAAGUCUCUCUCUAUUUUCUCCCGCUGCCCCCAAGGCAGCUCUCCCCCUUAGCUUCACUUUCACGCUGCCCCCAGCUGCCAAGGGCAGCUGUUUUUAUUCUUCUUCUUUCCAGCUGCCAAGGCAACCUUUUUCUUUCUUCUUUCUAAAAUUAUUCCCCCAGCUGCAAAGCAGCUCUCUUUCCUUCGCUGGCCCUCUGCUGCACGUCCUCACUCCUUAUUUUAUGCGCCCCCGCUGCUGCCAAAGCAGCAUCUGCCUUUUUGUUUUCUGUUUUUUCUAUUCCAUCUUUUCCCGCAUACUCCUGCCUUCCACUCCUCACGUUUCCACCUUGGAUUCCUUUCUUUCCAGCUGCAAAGCAACUUCCUGUUGUUUUCAGAAGUGAAGAAUAUGGGAGUCAACGAGGUAAAAAAAAUAUAAAUCAUGAUGCUCUCUUGCUCCCUCAUUGACCGACUCUCUCCAUUUCUUUUGCUUAUGCCGUGACAUAAUUCUACCAAUAAUCCAUGACAGAAUGAGAACGACUAGAGCAAUUUUUGACGAAUUUAUUAUUUAAAACUCAUUUGUGCUAUUUUUAUUUUCUUUGCAUAACAAAUCCUAUAAACACAAAAAUAACGUAAAUAGCUCAAAAAUGUAAGGAACUAACUAAGAAAAGACGAGUGAAUUUAAAGUAAAAAUAUAUAUAAAUAUGAUCCGAUCAA
rnacentral:lncRNA from 1 species